GGUGAGAUGGCCGAGUUGGUUAUGGCGCCAGGUUAAGGUCUUGUCUUAACACUAUUUCCUGGUCACGAAAGUGGCGUGGGUUCGAGUCCCACUCUCAUCA
rnacentral:tRNA from 1 species